UACGGAGGAUGCAAGCGUUAUCCGGAGUGAUUGGGCGUAAAGGGUCCGCAGGUGGCAAUGUAAGUCUGCUGUCAAAGAAUGAGGCUUAACCUCAUCAAGGCAGUGGAAACUACAUAGCUAGAGUACGGUCGGGGUAGAAGGAAUUCCUGGUGUAGCGGUGAAAUGCGUAGAGAUCAGGAAGAACACCGGUGGCGAAAGCGUUCUGCUAGACCUGUACUGACACUGAGGGACGAAAGCUAGGGGAGCGAAUGGG
rnacentral:rRNA from 1 species